CUGCAUUAAGCCCACAGUGAAGCUGCACCUGCCUCAAUGUGAUAAACAUACAUGUAAUGGACAGAGGUAAUAGCACCUGUUGUCACCAGGUACCACCGAAGACCUGGACUGAACCCAAUAGAAAGUGAAAAGUGGCUGAGGAUUAUAAAAGCAGCAAAGACCAGGCCUUCUCAGAGAUGCCUUUGGAGACUCUGCCCGGGAUAAGGAAACUGAAGCUCACGGAAGCUUAUGAUGCAAUACCAUCAACCGUGGAUAACAUCAUGAGACCCAUUCAAAAUGCCAUUAGUGAUGCUGGAAAUGCUCCCAAGAAGCAGAGAAAAGUCAUGACAUUACAAGAAAACGUUGGAUUGUUUGAUAAUAUGUACUGUAGAUCAUGAUCUGCAGCUG
rnacentral:lncRNA from 1 species